UACGUAGGUGGCAAGCGUUGUCCGGAUUUACUGGGUGUAAAGGGCGUGUAGCCGGGCUGACAAGUCAGAUGUGAAAUCCGGGGGCUCAACCCCCGAACUGCAUUUGAAACUGUUGGUCUUGAGUAUCGGAGAGGCAGGCGGAAUUCCUAGUGUAGCGGUGAAAUGCGUAGAUAUUAGGAGGAACACCAGUGGCGAAGGCGGCUUGCUGGACUGUAACUGACGUUGAGGCUCGAAAGCGUGGGGAGCAAACAGG
rnacentral:rRNA from 1 species